UACAGAGGGUGCGAGCGUUAAUCGGAAUUACUGGGCGUAGAGGGUGCGUAGGUUGCCAAUCAAGUCAGAUGUGAAAGCCCUGGCUUACCUAGAUGCAUUAGUAUACUAGUUGGCUCGAGUGCAGUAGAGAGAGGCGGAAUUUCCGGUGUAGCGGUGAAAUGCGUAGAUAUCGGAAGGAACACCAGUGGCGAAGGCGGCCUCUUGGACUGUAACUGACACUGAGGUGCG
rnacentral:rRNA from 1 species